ACGGCUACAUCACGUUAAAACACUGGUUCCCGUACGAACACCGAAGUUAAGCAACGUCGAGCCAGGUCAGUACCUAGAUAGGUAACCACCUGAGAAUACCAGGUGCUGUAAG